rnacentral:rRNA from 1 species
AUUGAACGCUGGCGGCAGGCCUAACACAUGCAAGUCGAACGAGUGGCGGACGGGUGAGCAAUGUCUGGGAAACUGCCCGAUGGAGGGGGAUAACUACUGGAAACGGUAGCUAAUACCGCAUACCAUCGGAUGUGCCCAGAUGGGCUUAGCUAGUAGGUGGGGUAACGGCUCACCUAGGCGACGAUCCCUAGCUGGUCUGAGAGGAUGACCAGCCACGCUGGAACGGAGACACGGUCCAGACUCCUACGGGAGGCAGCAGUGGUGAAUAUUGCACAAUGGACGAAAUCCUGAUGAAGCAAUGCCGCGUGUAUGAAGAAGGCCUUCGGGUUGUAAAGUACUUUCAGCGAGGAGGCGUUACUCGCAGAAGAAGCACCGGCUAACUCCGUGCCAGCAGCCGCGGUAAUAC